rnacentral:rRNA from 1 species
GACGAACGCUGGCGGCGUGCUUAACACAUGCAAGUCGAGCGGAAAGGCCCCUUCGGGGGUACUCGAGCGGCGAACGGGUGAGUAACACGUGGGUAAUCUGCCCAGGACACAGGAAUAGCCAGUGGAAACGCUGGCUAAUGCCUGAUGACGUGCCGGCCCUGCGGGGCCAGUACCAAAGGUAGCUUCGGCCUCCGGGCCUGGAUGAGCCCGCGGCCCAUUAGCUUGUUGGUGAGGUAACGGCUCACCGAGGCUCCGAUGGGUAGCUGGUCUGAGAGGACGAUCAGCCACACUGGGACUGAGACACGGCCCAGACUCCUACGGGAGGCAGCAGUGGGGAAUCUUGCGCAAUGGGCGGAAGCCUGACGCAGCAACGCCGCGUGCGGGAAGAAGGUCUUAGGGUUGUAAACCGCUUUCAGCAGGGACGAAGGCGUCCGGGUUAAUAGCCCGGAGGUUGACGGUACCUGCAGAAGAAGGUCCGGCUAACUACGUGCCAGCCGCCGCGGUAAAAC